UUCAAAGCGAUGACAAGAAGGAGUAAUUUACUUGUAUUCUUUAGAGAGCAGGCGGUUGGUGAAAGCUUGUGUAUAGGGUAGAUGAAGGUAGUCUUUGAGUUGAAUUUAUGAAAUGAAGUAGUAAAUUUCGUGACACAGCGUUAAUGUGAAUGAGAAUAAAAUUAGGUGGUACCACGUCAAGCACGUCCUAUGU
rnacentral:ncRNA from 1 species